rfam:Felis catus isolate Cinnamon breed Abyssinian chromosome C1, whole genome shotgun sequence.
GCCUGGGUGGCUCAGUUGGUUAAGCACCCGACUUUGGCUCAGGUCAUGUGGGUCUGAGCCCCACGUCAGGCU